rnacentral:rRNA from 1 species
GACGAACGCUGGCGGCGUGCCUAACACAUGCAAGUCGAGCGAAGUGAGUACUACGGUACGAACUUAGCGGCGGACGGGUGAGUAACGCGUGGACAAUCUACCCUGUAGACUGGGAUAACACCUCGAAAGGGGUGCUAAUACCGGAUAAUGUCGAGAAGCGACAUCGCUUUUCGAAGAAAGGAGAGAAUCCGCUAUAGGAGGAGUCCGCGUCCCAUUAGCUAGUUGGUGAGGGUAACGGCCCACCAAGGCGACGAUGGGUAGCCGGCCUGAGAGGGUGACCGGCAAAACUGGAACUGCGACACGGUCCAGACUCCUACGGGAGGCAGCAGUGGGGAAUAUUGUGCAAUGGUGGAAACCCUGACACAGCAACGCCGCGUGAGCGAAGAAGGCCUUCGGGUUGUAAAGCUCAAUAGUAUGGGAAGAUAAUGACGGUACCAUACGAAAGCCCCGGCUAACUACGUGCCAGCCGCCGCCGUAAUAC